rnacentral:rRNA from 1 species
UAGGGAAUCUUCCACAAUGGACGCAAGUCUGAUGGAGCAACGCCGCGUGAGUGAAGAAGGUUUUCGGAUCGUAAAGCUCUGUUGUUGGUGAAGAAGGAUAGAGGUAGUAACUGGCCUUUAUUUGACGGUAAUCAACCAGAAAGUCACGGCUAACUACGUGCCAGCAGCCGCGGUAAUACGUAGGUGGCAAGCGUUGUCCGGAUUUAUUGGGCGUAAAGCGAGCGCAGGCGGAAGAAUAAGUCUGAUGUGCAAGCCCUCGGCUUAACCGAGGGACUGCAUCGGAAACUGUUUUUCUUGAGUGCAUAAGAGGAGAGUGGAAUUCCAUGUGUAGCGGUGGAAUGCGUAGAUAUAUGGAAGAACACCAGUAGCGAAGGCGACUCUCUGGUCUGCAACUGACGCUGAGGCUCGAAAGCAUGGGUAGCGAACAGG